rnacentral:rRNA from 1 species
AACGAACGCUGGCGGCAGGCUUAACACAUGCGAGUCGAACGAGAUCUUCGGAUCUAGUGGCAGACGGGUGAGGAACACGUGGGAACAUCCCUUUCAGUUCGGAAUAACGUUGGGAAACUAACGCUAAUACCGGAUACGUCCUUCGGGAGAAAGAUUUAUCGCUGAAAGAUUGGCCCGCGUCUGAUUAGCUAGUUGGUGGGGUAACGGCUCACCAAGGCUACGAUCAGUAGCUGAUCUGAGAGGAUGAUCAGCCACAUUGGGACUGAGACACGGCCCAAACUCCUACGGGAGGCAGCAGUGGGGAAUAUUGGACAAUGGGCGCAAGCCUGAUCCAGCCAUGCCGCGUGAGUGAUGACGGCCUUCGGGUUGUAAAGCUCUUUUGUCCGGGAAGAUAAUGACUGUACCGGAAGAAUAAGCCCCGGCAAACUUCGUGCCAGCCGCCGCGGUAA